GUAAUCAUUGGUCUGCUUCUCACUGUCAUUACGAAUUUCCUCGAACUCGAACAUAAUUAUAGUGACGUAAAGUUGCAGGACGAGCUUUGAUCCGGCAAUCAUAUA
ensembl:ncRNA ZK945.14 ncRNA